UACGUAGGUGGCAAGCGUUACUCGGAAUCACUAGGCGUAAAGCGCAGGUAGGAGGUUCGAUAAGUCUGUUGUGAAAGCUCCCGGCUUAACUGGGAGAGGUCAACGGAAACUGUCGAGCUAGAGUGUGGUAGAGGUAGCUGGAAUUCCCGGUGUAGCGGUGAAAUGCGUAGAUAUCGGGAGGAAUACCUAUGGCGAAAGCAGGCUACUGGACCAUCACUGACUCUGAUCUGCGAAAGCUAGGGGAGCAAACAGG
rnacentral:rRNA from 1 species